UUUUAGUGUUACUCAUCUCUCAGCUGGCUGCUGCCUCCACAGCCGAAUCAAUUACUCUGAUUUUUUGAGGGUAUCUUGUUAUUUUGAACGUUUUUCUUCAAUGUAAUUCAUGAUCCUUUUGGAAAGUCUGUCCAGGGGAUACGUCGCCUCCUCUUUCAACAAGGCAGACCUAUAUGUGUGUUCACAGAAAUAGCCUGCACACAUACACACACACAGCAGCGGCAGCACACAUUUAGCCUGGUUAAUCAAGCUAAUUAGACAAGUAGGUUAUCCACGGUUUGCGGCACCAAAACCAAAGAGUCCUCUGUGUUUAUCACCACAUUGGAGAAUUUGAGCCUCCAGAGCAUGUUGACGCAUCGCUUUUAGCUCCUCUGCUCGUUGUUUACCUACUCCUCCCUUCUCUCCCCCCCUCCGCUCUGUCUCCCACCAUCAGCAGCAUCUCCUACUGAUGCUCAGUGGAGUCAGAUGAAGGACACAACCUCACAUGACUAGCAGAGGUCCUCUCAUAUGUGUUUCAUUUAGAGUCUUGGAGGAACAGGUUGCAUUCCUGCAGAUAAGGAGGCACAGGUGAUGCAUGUUGGCAUGACUUGAACCCAAUCUGUCCAAGCUGCUGGCUGUAAUUCCUGAUCAUUGUAGUAGUUGUAGGUGAACUUACUCCCUCUGUUCCUCUUCUGAUUGAGGUUAAUUGCUUUAAUCAUUACCUUUUAAAACAAUGUCAGGCUAAUGCUAACACUUGGCUUUAACUUAAUACAAUAGCUUCUAUCCCCAGAGAGAUGAAUGGUUGCCGACUGCUUGCUUCUCUAGCUAUACUAACUUUAGCAACGACCGCAGGAUAGCUAAACACAAUGGUCUCAACAAACCUCAACCACAACGCCACCCGCACAGAGCAGCACCUAACUUCAUCAACAGUACAUAUAGGGUCCCAGCCACAGCACUAGCCACCAAACAUCUUUUUAGCUGUGCUUAAUUUCUUUAGCGAAGAGACUAAACACAACUCACCUACUCGCUUUCAGCAGCUGCUUGUUUGUAGCGAGACCUCGGGCCAGUCCAUUGCGGACUGCAGUGGGGUGACGCAGCUCAAGGAACAACAUUUAUGAUAAUUUCUUCAUGGAAAUGCAAUCAGACUGAGACGCCAAGGCAGAAGAACUUUUGCGUCUGCGGUGCAGAAUGAUUAAUAUGGUGAUUAUUACUUCAAGGAAAUGAUGAAGAAAUAAUCAUAAAUGUUCUUCCUUGAGCUGCGUCACCCCACAGCUGUCCAUAAUGGACUGGCCCGAGGUCUCCGUACAAACAAGUGGCUGCUGGAAGAGAGUUGGAAGAGUUGCAAGUGGUUGGCAACAUUCAUCUCUCGAGGGUGUGUCUAACUCGGUGUUACGGUGUGUUUGACCCCAAAUUAAUUUUAUGCCGGAAUAUCCCUUUAAGGCACUGUAGGUGCGAAGUAUAAAGCCAUGGUGCACUAUGAUAUGAUGGAUUACCACACAGUGUUGUAUGAUGCUUUAUGAUAGGGUAUGAAAUGAUAUUCUUUUUGACUGGAUACAAUAGGAUAUGAUACCAUUUAGUGGGAUACAAUAUAGGGAUGCAAGAUAUUGUCAACAUGAUAUGAGUAUUGGCAGGAAUGAGUAUGUUUGUGGAUUUGAUUCCAGGAGAUGCAUUAGUGCAAGUGAUAACAACUUAAACAUGCUAAGUUGGCUGUUCAAUUUCAUUCGUGGUUAACCCAGUCAUUUUAUUUCAGUAGAGUUCUGUACUGCAGAUGUCCUCAUCUGACUCUCUGGCUUCCAACAGAAAAAAAGAGAAACUACUGCCAUCAGGAUAAGAUACGGGUUCAGGGGCUUCUCCUUUUUCAUGUCUUUGCUAAACAAAAGGAUGAGGCAUCCACGGUAUCAGUAAUCAAAGUCCCCUGAGUUUAGCCAACAGCUUCUUAUUCUGUUAGCGUUCUCUGUGGUGCAGAGGCUGCAGAGCAAGCGGCGAAUUUCUCAUCUCAGUAGGAGGAAGCUGAUCAGGCAGGGUAUCACUCAGAGGUGAGGACAUCAGGAGGGCAGCAAAUGUAAAGCUGGAGGAGAAGUGAGAGCAGCAGACAUGAUCAGGUUGGUUUCAUAAACAGCGUCUUCGCCUGAAGUCUGUCUGUAGAUUUCAUGGACUUUGUUUUGUAAGAUGAAGAUGGCUAAAAUAAUUGGCUCUGGGGCUGAAUAGCAAAAUGGGCCGGCUUCAUUAAAGGGUAAUUCUGGUAUCUCUUAGACUUAGUUAACUCUGUUCUCCCUGGUUUAUUGUGCAUCUCAAACCUGUGUAACUUUAACUAUGUCGGAGCACCAACAAUUACAAUGUUGAUUAAACUUUCAUGGAGAGUUUAUAUAGUUUAAUUGUUAUAUCUAAGGUGCAGCUAUUCCCCAGGGCUUCCUUAUGUGACCCCCUAAUCCAUGGAUCUUAAUGGAUCUUUUAAUGUAUUUUAAUUUAAUCUUUUUAAGAGAUUUGGAUCACAGGGACCCUCUACGUUGCAGCAAGAAGGAAGGUGGAUGAUCAGUGGGUUUAUUUGUCAACUUUAACUCCCAUUGUUUUCCGCGAAAGUUGAAUUUCUUGUCAGAAGCACCGACUAAACUAAACCUCGAGCUGCAGGCAACCAGUGCUGUUAUCCCGGAUUUGAAGUUUAGUUCAUUCAAAGAAAGUACUGAUGAAAUGGUCCUGCACAUAGUCUCAGGGGCUCUUCGCCUCAAGCAGGAGUUUGUAGGCCCUCAAGUAUCCUUAAAGUAGGAUCUGAACACGCACUGUGCACACUGAGAUACAAAUAAACAAUACCUCAGCUAAAAAAGCUCUUCUAAAGACCUUUAAGUCAAGUCUUUUCCCUUAUUGUAUAAAGAUUGUUGCCCUAAAAGGAAAUGCAGCAGGACUAAGUGAGUAAAUGUAGCUCCCAAUCCUCACUCUCAUUAGUUCAUAGAUAGAGUCUAGAUGUCUGUGUAGGUUCUCAUUCAUCCAGAUCAGUUGAAGAAGCCUUUAGGAAGAGAGACAAAACGUCUUCAGGAACCUCAAACAAGUCCAGUUGCCCCUUCGAUGAAGAAUUGGAAAGAUUGUAGACCAAGAGUUGAUGUCAUCAGACUGGGCUCGUGACAGGUUUGAGGGCUUGAGCUCCUACGUUUGCGUCUGCAGUCCCCGACACGUCUGUGCCGAGCGUCACGCCAGAACUUCAGAGGUCAGAACGUCACUACAACAGUGUGGUUCUUUGUGUCGGGCUCCUAGUGCAGAGGGAUUUAAUGUGUCUCCUCUCUCUGUCUGCUGUAUCUUUUUCUGUGCCUGCAGUCGGAGGCUGAGUCAUGACGUACUCCCUGACUGAAAUGAACUUAUUGUUACAUAUGUGUAAAUGUUGAAGCAGGGAUGAAUACAGGCUGUGGCAGAGCCUGAGGGGUUGUGGGCUGACAUGUGCAGUGGUGUAUGAAGUACCCAAAAGCCAAACUCGAGUAAAAGUUCAGAUAUUGCCCCAGAAAAGGUCUUGGUAGAGUGAAGGAUGUAUAUUCAUAUUACUUGAGCAAAGUCUCAAAGUAUCUGAUCAUAUGGGUACUUAAGGAUGUCAAGUAAAAGUACAUGAUGUUGAUUUUAGAAAUGUGUUCAGAAUAUUUUAGAUAACGAACAUUUAUUUCCAACUGCAAAGCACCAGUGUUAGUUAUUUGGAGGCCUAGGGCAAAGAACACUGUGAUUGAGAGAGUAAAUAUUAUUUUAAGGCAUCUUUUUUCAGUCAACAAAACCACAGAACAAAGGACUCAGCUGAAUGUGAAUUAUAAAAGAUCACAGACACACUGGAGCCACCAGUACCUCCUCAUGAUCUCACUACCGAUGUUCACAUGUACAAAACUUCUUCAUUGGAUGAAAAAUUUGAGGGAUUGGAAAAUCUGAAUCCACUGUAUAUAUGGGUGCAAAAUCAAAUCAUCUCUAAAUCCUCUUUCAGAUCCAAACUUUAGGUAUUUUUACAGACUGUAUAUAAAAUGGAAGCAGCCUGUCUCCUCGCUGGGUGAAGCCACUCCAAGAACAGCACCCUCUAGUGACAGGCUGCAGUAUAGGUCAUAAAUCCCGCCUCCUCCACUAAUCCCUACGAAGCUGUGGACAAACUUUAGAAAGUAAUUACACAGAAUAUACAUUUUUCUCCCCCCUGCUUGCGAUGUUGACAUGUAGUUAUUGUAAGACUGGUUUGUGCUCAAGUCCUCUUUUUUCUGCACAGCUCCAUUUUUAAAAGUUAUUAGGGGGUUCAUGUCUUCUAUGAUUGACACUUUAUACAGCCUAUGGGCGUAUGAAGAUUGCGUAGCUCACCGGGGGAAUACGCAGUUUGAGCCGAGCGUCAUCACAGUGACUCUUGGCGACUCUCCCGCCAAAUGCGCACAAUGCUACUGCACAAGUGGUGGAUUGCGUACAACGCUACUGCCCAACCUUGGUUUCAGGAAGUGGAGAAAAAACGCAGAAUUACCGAGAGCUUUUCGGCUUCAAAUCCAUAUACUGGCAGAAGGCAGAACCAAGUUGUCCAUAGUAUAUACAGUCUAUGGUAUUUGUCAAUAGAAAUGAUACCUAAAAAUACCCCCCUGUUGUUUAUCAUUGGGGGUUGGCACAGGGCCCUAAGCAGGCGCCUUGGUCGCUUGUGCCUUGUGCUGGCUCUGUAGGUAAUGAGUCGUAAAGCGUGUGAAAGAGAAAGGUCAAGAAACGCUGAGGAAGAAGAGAAAUUUUUCUUUGUCUACCACUUCUUAACUCCUCUUCUUUGUCAAGGUUUUUGUGCCGCGAUGUUUAAUUGCCACCACCCUCAGUUUUAAAAGCCAACCACCUACAAAUAAUCCAAAAUUAACAGACUAAAUUUCUGCCAGUUCUUGUAGUAAGAUUCGUUGGAGGCAAACAUUCAUGAGAAGUAGCAGAGAUUAGUGGGGAAACGUAGUAAAGUCAAAGUAGAAAUUGUCAGAAAUGUAAAAAAUCAAGUAAAGUACAAAUACUUACAAAAAAUACUGAAGUACACUAAGGAAAUACAAUUACUUAAUUCCUUUACACCAUUAGACAUGUGAGAGUAGAAAUCCAGAUCAUAUGAUCACUUCUGAAUCUGAACACCUGCAGGCUCUCCAGCUUUCCAGUAACACUACUGCUUUUAUUUUUACAUUUACAUUUUUACAUAAUCUUCUUUGAAACUCAGGCAUGUUUAGGGGCCAGGUUUGUACUGCUGGUCAUUUUUGCAGAGAAAGGAAGGAGAAAUGAUGUGUGAAGGCAAUACUCAGGCAAGAGAACUUAUCAAGCAGAGCCCAUGGAGACCUCCACCCGAUGAGGCUUUUUUCCAUCACCUGGGGUUGUUUGUUUGUUUCCAGGAUCAUCACAGAUACUAUCACACACAAUCUGCCAUUAGCCCGCCAUGUCCACCUGCUGCCACUCUCCUUUGUGUGUGUUCGCUGGAAAUAGGCACAGUCAGUUAAAGCUGCAGAAAAGCAUUUUUGUUUCCAUCUGGAUUCCAGGUGAGGCAUGGCUGUCUUCUGCUCCAUGUUUUCCAUUUUUAAUCUUUCUCCUUUUUUAUCCCAAUCUCUCCAAUUCUUUUUAGCUUUUCACUUGAUUCACUUUACAACUGAAUAAAUCGAGCAAAAAUCUUUAAUUCUGAAAGCCGCCACCAACCCUGAGCGUUCCUGGUGCUGGCGAAGCACAGGGUCAGCAGGGUUUCUUGUAACAGGUUUCUUCCAGAUGUGUCUGUCUGAGCACAGAGCAUGAGGUGGUGGGCAGGGAAUCAGCUAGACGCAGCAGAGAGAGCAGAAUCCAUGCGGGAUACUUCUUAUACUUUCUUAUAUUCUUCAGUACCUCACUGAACUGAAGAUGUAUUUGUUUUUCUGGAAGUACAUUUGGAAAAAGUUGGGAUCGACUUGUGUCUUGGAAUUAAUAAUGAAACCCAAUGGAUUAAUGCUGUUGUGUAUGACAUAAUGUUGUUUUUGCAAUAUUAGCUUUAGAAUAUAAUAGUAUAGUGUAGCAAAGGGAUACUCUGGCGUAAAAUUAAGUUAGGGUCAAA
rnacentral:lncRNA from 1 species